AACGAACGCUGGCGGCGCGCCUAAUACAUGCAAGUCGAGCGAGAAGGUGUAGCAAUACACUUGUAAAGCGGCGAACGGGUGAGGAAUACAUGGGUAACCUACCCUCGAGUGGGGAAUAACUAGCCGAAAGGUUAGCUAAUACCGCAUACGAUUCCAGGACUUCGGUCCUGGAAGGAAAGCACUACCGUGGGUAGUGCGCUCCUGGAUGGGCUCAUGUCCUAUCAGCUUGUUGGUGAGGUAAAGGCUCACCAAGGCUUCGACGGGUAGCUGGUCUGAGAGGACGAUCAGCCACACUGGCACUGCGACACGGGCCAGACUCCUACGGGAGGCAGCAGUAAGGAAUAUUGCGCAAUGGGCGAAAGCCUGACGCAGCGACGCCGCGUGGGGGA
rnacentral:rRNA from 1 species